rnacentral:rRNA from 1 species
AGAGUUUGAUCCUGGCUCAGAUUGAACGCUGGCGGCAUGCCUUACACAUGCAAGUCGAACGCGAAAGGGGGGCAACUCCUGAGUAGAGUGGCGAACGGGUGAGUAAUACAUCGGAACAUAUCCAGUAGCGGGGGAUAACCUCGAGAAAUCGAGGCUAAUACGCAUACGUCCUAAGGGAGAAAGCAGGGGACCGCAAGGCCUUGCACUAUUGGAGUGGCCGAUGUCGGAUUAGCUAGUUGGCGGGGUAAAAGCCCACCAAGGCGACGAUCCGUAGCUGGUCUGAGAGGAUGAUCAGCCACACUGGGACUGAGACACGGCCCAGGCUCCUACGGGAGGCAGCAGUGGGGAAUUUUGGACAAUGGGCGCAAGCCUGAUCCAGCCAUGCCGCGUGAGUGAAGAAGGCCUUCGGGUUGUAAAGCUCUUUCGGCCGGGACGAAAUCGCAUGGGUGAAUAUCCCGUGUGGAUGACGGUACCGGAAUAAGAAGCACCGGCUAACUACGUGCCAGCAGCCGCGGUAAUACGUAGGGUGCGAGCGUUAAUCGGAAUUACUGGGCGUAAAGCGUGCGCAGGCGGUUUCGUAAGCCAGAUGUGAAAUCCCCGGGCUUAACCUGGGAACUGCAUUUGGGACUGCGAGGCUAGAGUACGGCAGAGGGAGGUGGAAUUCCACGUGUAGCAGUGAAAUGCGUAGAUAUGUGGAGGAACACCGAUGGCGAAGGCAGCCUCCUGGGCUAGUACUGACGCUCAUGCACGAAAGCGUGGGGAGCAAACAGGAUUAGAUACCCUGGUAGUCCACGCCCUAAACGAUGACAACUAGUUGUUGGGGAUUUAACAUCCUUAGUAACGUAGCUAACGCGUGAAGUUGUCCGCCUGGGGAGUACGGUCGCAAGAUUAAAACUCAAAGGAAUUGACGGGGGCCCGCACAAGCGGUGGAUGAUGUGGUUUAAUUCGAUGCAACGCGUAAAACCUUACCUACCCUUGACAUGCCAGGAAGUCCGAUGAAAGUUGGAUGUGCCCGAAAGGGAACCUGGACACAGGUGCUGCAUGGCUGUCGUCAGCUCGUGUCGUGAGAUGUUGGGUUAAGUCCCGCAACGAGCGCAACCCUUGUCAUUAGUUGCUACAUUUAGUUGGGCACUCUAAUGAGACUGCCGGUGACAAACCGGAGGAAGGUGGGGAUGACGUCAAGUCCUCAUGGCCCUUAUGGGUAGGGCUACACACGUCAUACAAUGGUCGGUACAGAGGGUUGCCAACCCGCGAGGGGGAGCCAAUCUCAGAAAGCCGAUCGUAGUCCGGAUUGUAGUCUGCAACUCGACUGCAUGAAGUCGGAAUCGCUAGUAAUCGCGGAUCAGCAUGUCGUGGUGAAUACGUUCCCGGGCCUUGUACACACCGCCCGUCACACCAUGGGAGUGGGUUCCACCAGAAGCCGUUAGCCUAACCGCAAGGAGGGCGACGACCACGGUGAGAUUCAUGACUGGGGUGAAGUCGUAACAAGGUA